rnacentral:rRNA from 1 species
AUUGAACGCUGGCGGCAUGCUUUACACAUGCAAGUCGAACGGCAGCUCCGGGCAACCUGGCGGCGAGUGGCGUACGGGUGAGUAAUAUAUCGUAACGUACCCAGUAGCGGGGGAUAACGUAGCGAAAUUUACGCUAAUACCGCAGACGCUCAACGGUUUCAACUAGGGGUGCGCAAGGCCUUAUUCUUUUGGUUCGUCGGAUAAUUGAUUACCUAGUUGGUGAGGCAAAGGCUCACUAAGGCGACGAUCAGCAGCUGGUAUGAGAGGACGACCAGCCACACGGGCAGUGAGAAAGGGUCGAGACUCCUACGGGGGGAAGCAGCGGGGAAUCUUGGACAAGGGGGGAGAGCCUGAUACAGGAAAGCCGGGUGAGUGAAGAAGGACUUCGGGUGGGAAAGCUAUUAUGGCAGGGAAGAAGCGGUACAGGCUAAUAUGCGAUGAUAAUGACGGUACCUGAAGAAUAAGCACCGGCUAACUACGUG